rnacentral:rRNA from 1 species
CCUACGGGUGGCAGCAGUGAGGAAUAUUGGUCAAUGGACGCAAGUCUGAACCAGCCAUGCCGCGUGCAGGAAGACGGCUCUAUGAGUUGUAAACUGCUUUUGUACGAGGGUAACCUCAGAUACGUGUAUCUGUCUGCACGUAUCGUACGAAUAAGGAUCGGCUAACUCCGUGCCAGCAGCCGCGGUAAUACGGAGGAUUCAAGCGUUAUCCGGAUUUAUUGGGUUUAAGGGGUGCGUAGGCGGUCGGAUAAGUUAGAGGUGAAAUCCCGAGGCUCAACUUCGGAAUUGCAUCGGAUACUGUUCGGCUAGAGAGUAGUUGCGGUAGGCGGAAUGUAUGGUGUAGCGGUGAAAUGCUUAGAGAUCAUACAGAACACCGAUUGCGAAGGCAGCUUACCAAGCUACUUCUGACGUUGAGGCAUGAAAGCGUGGGGAGCAAACAGGAUUAGAUACCCCAGUAGUC